GGGCGGAGGAGAGGAAUCAUGAGAAGACGGAGAGAGAGAGAGGAAGCUGGAAACACAAGAAAAAGUCUCAGGAGAGGAGAAUACAUGUGCUCAAGUCAUCGUUGGUCUGCAGAUCGUAGGGAAGCAGAAGAUGCAUAAACCUGAAUGAGAGAGUUCAGCCACCACGAUGUGUCCGUCUUUGGUCGUGAAGCCCUGAAAGAGACGAGAGAGACGAGAACUUCAGACGGAAUUCAGGACAGACGAAGUUAAACACAACAUUUUUAAAAUCGUCCGACAGAAACAUCUGGAACCAGAUGAAGAGGAAACAACUUCAAGAGAGGAGAAAAACAAUUCCCUCUGUAGAUUUCCACAAUCCUUACAUGCAAUUCAAUAAAUAAACAAAAACAAAGAAACUCACAAAUGAUCGACGA